GACGAACGCUGGCGGCGUGCCUAAUACAUGCAAGUUGAGCGCUGAAGGUUGGUACUUGUACCAACUGGAUGAGCAGCGAACGGGUGAGUAACGCGUGGGGAAUCUGCCUUUGAGCGGGGGACAACAUUUGGAAACGAAUGCUAAUACCGCAUAAAAACUUUAAACACAAGUUUUAAGUUUGAAAGAUGCAAUUGCAUCACUCAAAGAUGAUCCCGCGUUGUAUUAGCUAGUUGGUGAGGUAAAGGCUCACCAAGGCGAUGAUACAUAGCCGACCUGAGAGGGUGAUCGGCCACAUUGGGACUGAGACACGGCCCAAACGCCUACGGGAGGCAGCAGUAGGGAAUCUUCGGCAAUGGACGAAAGUCUGACCGAGCAACGCCGCGUGAGUGAAGAAGGUUGUCGGAUCGUAAAACUCUGUUGGUAGAGAAGAACGUUGGUGAGAGUGGAAAGCUCAUCAAGUGACGGUAACUACCCAGAAAGGGACGGCUAACUACGUG
rnacentral:rRNA from 1 species